rnacentral:rRNA from 1 species
GCGGGCCUAACACAUGCAAGUCGAGCGAGAAAGGGGCUUCGGCCCUGAGUAAAGCGGCGGACGGGUGAGUAACACGUAGGUAAUCUUCCCUUGAGCGGGGGACAACGUUCCGAAAGGGACGCUAAUACCGCAUAAGUCUCCGAGGACUCUGGUUCUUGGAGGGAAAGCUAGGUAGCAAUAUCCGGCACUCGAGGAGGAGACUGCGUCGCAUCAGCUAGUUGGUGGGGUAACGGCCUACCAAGGCGAAGACGCGUAGCUGGUCUGAGAGGAUGAUCAGCCACACUGGGACUGAGACACGGCCCAGACUCCUACGGGAGGCAGCAGUGGGGAAUAUUGGACAAUGGGCGCAAGCCUGAUCCAGCCACGCCGCGUGAGUGAUGAAGGCCUUCGGGUCGUAAAGCUCUGUGGGGAGGGACGGACCGCUGGAGGUUAAUAGCUUCCAGCAUGACGGUACCUCCUUAGCAAGCACCGGCUAACUUCGUGCCAGCAGCCGCGGUAAUACGAAGGGUGCAAACGUUGCUCGGAAUUAUUGGGCGUGAAGCGCACGUAGGCGGCUCUAUAAGUUGGAUGUGAAAUCCCUCGGCUCAACCAAGGAAGUGCAUCCAAAACUGUGGAGCUUGAGUACUAAAGAGGAUCGCGGAAUUCCCGGUGUAGAGGUGAAAUUCGUAGAUAUCGGGAGGAACACCAGUGGCGAAGGCGGCGAUCUGGGUAGACACUGACGCUGAGGUGCGAAAGCG